GCUUUUAUUCAUCUUAGAACUUGAAAGCUAGAAGCAGAGCUCUCUCUCAAAAUCCCAAAGCUCCGAAAGGAAAACAGAGCGAAAUCGCGUUUUACUUCUGCAAUUCUAUCUGUCAAAAUCCCCAAGCUCUGAAAGGAAAACAGAUCGAAAUUGCGUUCAACUUCUACAAUUCGAUCCUUUACAAUGCCUAGAAACGUCAAUUCUGUCCUCCACACUAGCAAUCUCUUCACUGAUUUUAGGUAAUAUUGGAGAGGGUAGAGCAUUUUGCUCAGUCAGUUUCUGUAUACGAAGAUCAAAUAUUUCAAAAAAGAGCUCGUAUUCAGCAGGUCCCACAGCUUCCACGUUAAGCAAAUCCGGGUCAGUGAGAAUGUGCUGGCACGGGUAUUUCCAUGUGGUGAACAAUGACUACACUCACUGGGAGAUGUAUGCGAUUGGCGGAAGUGCAAAUCCUACCAUCAACAACCAGGGCAACAUAUAUCUUGCCCCGAUGAAUUGCUUUUCCUAGGAGGCACUUGUGGUGAAGCUAAGGGAAGGCACUAGGCCAAAUGCUAAUACUGGUGUUGUCACUAGAGUUCUUGCAACUAUUGGGGAGCUUGCUAGGGUGCAUAAAUGAAGUCCCAUAAAGAAUGGAGAUAUGUAAUUCUCAAAAUUCUUGUUACUGAUGGAUGCAAAACUGAAUAUGUACUGCAACAGUGCCAUUGGCACUCUCUUGAACUAAAUAUGUAGUGCAACAAUGCCACAGGCACUGUCCUCAGAGGACACCAUCAAUGGGAAGAGGUAUGGUGCUACCUAUCUCUAGAAGGAAAUAGAUAAUAUCUUCAUUUCUGGAUGUCCUGAUUUUGUAGCAUAGUUAGGACUUAUUUUUGUGUCUUGGGUGAAAAACUGCCAACAUUGAGGUCUCUUGCAAGGUUAUUAUUGAAGGCCAUUUGAGAAACAUUAUGGCUUCA